rnacentral:rRNA from 1 species
AACGGCCGCGGUAUCCUAACCGUGCAAAGGUAGCAUAAUCACUUGCCUAUUAAUUGUAGGCUAGUAUGAAAGGGUUAACGAAAUAAAGACUGUCUCAAUUAACCACCUAAAAACUAUUCUCUACUUGAAGAAAAGUAGAUCCUCUCGAAGGACAAGAAGACCCUAUAGAGCUUAAUUUUACUUAUAGAUCACACACUAUAAAAAUAUUCGGUUGGGGCGACCCAGGGCUAAUAAAUCACCCACAGAAAAAAAGAUAUAUAAAUCAAAUAAAUGACCCUUAUAGAUCACAAGACCAAGCUACCUUAGGGAUAACAGGCUAAUCCCACUUAAGAGUCCUUAUCAACAGUGGGGUUUGGCACCUCGAUGUUGGCUUAGG